AUGAACGACGACCUUGACCUCGACGCCGCCGCUGGCGUCGCCUCGUCCGGCAUGAAGAUCGCCCCCUCCGGCAAAGGCAAGCCUCGUGCCCUGCGAAAAACCGCCGCCGCGACCAAGCGAAAGAAGGCGCUGACGCCCGAACACCGGGCGGCGGAGUCGGCCAAGAGGAAGAGCCGGAGGCACGCCACGGAUGCGAGGGGUGAAGCCAUCUCGCCUGCCGCCGUUGCCGCCGCUGCGCAGCAGGAGGUCACCAACACCCGCGUCGCGGCGACAACGAGGGAGACACUCUACAUGCUAGGGUUAAACCCUAGCCAACACGGCCUUGUCAACGCCGCCGUGGCCAGCACCGGCUCGUCCACGUUCCCUUGGAUGGUGCUGCCCGACUCACCCCGCGCGUCGGCUUGCAUCCCGAUACCUGGCUUCCACGUGUACCCGCAGGUCUCGCGCCUCUCCGGGGAGUGCUCACCCGACGUGAGCGUGGUGGCGCCUUCCACGCCCGCACACGCGCCCAUCUACCUCAACGCCACACCGGUAGCCGGCGGCUCGUCAUCCGGAGGUGCAAGUAAACGCGUGCGGCAGAUGCAGGCCGACGUGGUACACGCCGCAACCUGUUUGACGAAAUGCCGGCCGCCAGCAACGAGGACUACAUGCAGAACCUCAUCUUCGAGGGCAGUGCGCCGACUACUGGCUAUGACCCCGAGGAGACACAAAGCCAGGACAGCCGCGGGGCGUUCAAGCCGUGCGCUGGCUAUGAUCAGUCGACCUUCAUGCGUGAUCAGGUCGGCAUGGACCUUGACGGCUUCUCACUUGACCACGAGUUUCCGGACGACUACGGGCAAGAGGAAGAAGACGAGUGCGACAUCAAAGUGGAGCCUUUGUUUGAGGAUAAGCUCGCCAACCAAGCCGUCGGGCCGAAGCCGAAGCGCAAGAGCAAGAGCACAAAGGCAUACACGGCGGCCGAGAACAAACUUCUUUGCGAGUGUUGAAGGGACAUUGGACAAGAUCCCAAGACCGGCGCCGAACAAAAGCAUUCAACUUUUUGGAUUCGUGUCCACCGGGAGUUUCAUGAGCGCUUGA
rnacentral:rRNA from 1 species